UUUUUUUCUCUUUUGUUUUUUCAAUUCUUCUCCUCACUCUUGCUCUUUCCCAAUUCCCAUUUUUUCAUUUUCCAUUUCAUCCCUUUCCAUUUCAUAAGUUUCUUUUUCCUUUUGAUUUCGCACAAAAAUACAGAACCAAACCUUGAGUUUCAGUUCUGCAGAAGGCUCAACCACGGAAGAAACAAAUUGGUUGGAAAAGCUGGUGGUGCUAGGUGGAAGUCCAUGUUCUUUGCUGUGAGCAAAGCAAACAUGUUCUCUGAUUCUCUUUUAUUAUUCUUCUUUCUUCGGAUAACAAUUAUUUCGAAUUUUUGUUGUUGUUGUUUUACGAUUUACUCUCUAAUUCAUUAUAUUAUCAUCUUUCAGGAAAAAAACUUCAUAUCAAGCAAAUGCUAGAGAACAAACUAGCAUCUGAGGAGGAUAUAAGGGCCUACAAUAAAGGAUUGAUAAUUGCUUUAACUCAAUAUUUUGAUUCUCUCUUGUGAUUCAUACUAAUCUUAUGGUUGAGCUCUUAAUGUUUUAGAAUGAGAGUGGAGAUUCUAAUAAGUCAAAAUCUGUGGUAAAUGACGAUUAUGAUGAUAAAGAGAGAAUGAGGGAAGUAGCAGCUAUGGUGAAGGAAGAGGCCUUGGAGUGGGAGGAAAUAAUUUCAUUCAUCAUCAAUCUUCAUAUAGUUUUGAGAGUUGAUUGACAAUAUAGUUUGAUCAUCUUAAUUUUCUGCUUACUUUUAUGUGUGAAGAUCAUAAAAUUUGAAGUUUAGUAGGGUUCCGUAAUUACCAUUUAUGUUUGAACAAAUUCUUUAGUAAUUUUUUCAUUCAAAAAUUUAGAAUCCUCAACUCUAUUACUUUUUAUUUCUCCGCAACUUUAUUUAUUUUUAACUUUGAAAGAGAUUUAAUUUAUAACUUUGUCAAACAAUAUUUAUAAUUCUUAUGGAUAACUGGAUAAGGUUUAAUUGUUAUACUUAGGAGUACUAAAUCUUCUUAGGAUACUAUUGAAAGAAAUGUUUGGCAAUCUAAGUUUACUAACUAAUUCUUUUUUAUUUAGUCCUCUUCUUGAUAGAAUUUUUCACUUAUAUGUUUAUUCUGUUUUUAAAUUUGAAGAAUCAAAGAAAGAAUUUGUACCAUUGCCUCGCGAUUAUUUUAUUUUUGGGAUAUGUGAUUUACUGUCAAAACUUAUAUUUCAUUGUUAAAAUGAAAAGAAUAAGUUGAUUGGUAUUGGAGAUUAAGAGAAACGAAUUUUAAAAUUUAAAAGAAUAAUUUUAGAAUUGAUGUAAAAGAGGAAAAAAAAUAUUUUAGUUGUUUCUCAAACAUAAAAAAGGUAUAGUCAUAAUGUUAAUAAUAAAUGUGAUGAAAUUGUGUAUAUGUAAUUGAUAAUUUUUAACUCUUUAUCCAGAGAAUCAAAUAAAUUAUUAUAAUAGAAUAAUAAACAUUUGAUGAGAUGAAUUAUUUAUUGGCUAAUUAUAUAGUACAUAUUUAUGUAUACAGAUGCAAAAAUUUGUUGACAAGUGUGCAAUAUAUUAGAGGCAGGAAAAGUUUGGCAAGAGCUCUAAAACCUUGUCUGCCUUAGUAGUUGAAGAAAUGUUACAGAUCCUCAACUAGAUUUAGAGAGGUGGGUUGGGACUUUGUUUUAGUUUUAUAUUUUUGGUCAUCAGUGGUGGACUUGUUUAAUAUAAUUGGACUUAUACAUCUUGUAAGCUUCUUCCUAUGGAUGUUAUCUUCUUCGUUUUUCUAGGUCCACAUCAUAGCAAACAAAAAGAAGAAGAUCAAGAAGAAAACAACAACAACAUCCAAUUGCUAUUGAAAAACGAAGAGAUCUACAUCCAACAGCACCGCCACCAACCGAGGGUUCGAGAUAUGGCCUGAUCAUCAUCAACCAAGCUACUACUCCUUCGGUUUGGGUCCAUCUAGUGAGAGAAACACCACCACAAACCCAAGCGACGACGUUUCGGUGUCUUUCUCUGAUGAGUCGAAUCGGAUCGGGUUCACCGUGAUCUGGUCUUCUUCGUCUGGAUCGAGUCUAGGAAGCGGCACAAAUUGCAGAGACUGCGUUAACCAAGCCAAGAAAGACUGCCUCCACCUUCGCUGCCGAACCUGCUGCCGAAGCCGAGGGUUUCAAUGUUCUACUCCAAUUCAACACAAUCAGAAGUAGAAUCGUCGACCACCAUGGUUUUUGCUCUAUUGAGUUUUAUGCGUGUAUAAUUUCAUUCACUAAUGAGUAAUGAUUAUGUUUGUUGUUGUUGUUACUAUGCA